rnacentral:lncRNA from 1 species
GGCAUAGGGCCUGGAGUGUGUUUCCUCUGGCUAUUUAGCACAGGGACGGGGAGCCGGCAUGGGGCCUGAAGUGUAUUUUCCUCUGACUGUCUGCUCAGAGACGGGGAGCCGGCAUGGGGCCUGCAGGUUAUCGGACAAUUCACUAGUGAUUAUUAUAUAUGAGUUAUGAUUUGAGAUACUGCACAUCAUGCUAGGUUUCGGAAAACCUAUGUUCAUCAUUAUAUAUUUGUUUUCAUAAACCUGGGGGUUAGUAUAUUGAUAACUGUUUUAUUAUAUAUAUAUCAACUUGGUCCACUCAUGUUUGUUUUGCGCCCCCUUCAGGAUUUAGGAUCGAGGCGUACAAUCCCGACAAUCAAGGCACUUCCGCAUCGGCAUCUUCGAGUCCUCUUGGUGUGGGACUCAUUCUUUUAUUCAUUCCAUUUUAUAUCAUUCUUUUAGUGUUCUAGUUAGUUGUAUGCUCUGAACACGUUCCUUAAAUGCAUAUUCCUUAUUCUUUUACAUUUGUAAGUUUUAUCUAUCCUUUAUUUUCAGCAAUUGCACUCAAUAAAUGGCUUUCGUCACCCUCGGGUGUCGGCCAGCACGUGACCAUCCUGAUAUCCCGAGGAUAUCGGGAUCGGGGCGUGUCAGAUUGGUAUCAGAGCGUGGUUUGUUCAGAGCAUACUUAGGGUUCUUUUCUAUUAUCUUAAAGUGUUGGUUUUGACAUCAUUUGGAUGUCACGACUUCCGGAUUUUAUGCUAGUCGGUGCAGUUGUGUGAAUCUCUCUCUGAUUGAAUUGUCACCUUCUUGUUGAAAUUCAAGAAUUCGUGUCGGGAUUGUGCCUCAUCGGUGACGUGUUUGAAUCGUUGGACGACUUUCAGCAUCGGAUCGAUACUCAGCGACGUGUUUUAGAAAUCUCAAUUUGAGGAAUUCUGGUUAAGACCAGCUGUAGAUUUGAAAUGGCGAUGCACUCUGCAACAUGCGUUCCCUAGGAAUUGCGGGCGGAGUCGGCUCUACAUCGAAAUCUUGAGAAACUCCUCAGUAGCAGACGUUAUUCUCAUCAAUUUUCAAAUUGAGUUGCAAUUCUUGUUGUUGUUGUAGUUGGAUUUGGAUGAUGAAUAUCCAGUUUUGUUUGGAUAAACAGAUUCCUUGAAUUUCACCUGGGUUGGGUACCUGGUGGCAAACCCUAGUUCCUCGUCCGCGUACUUUUUGGCGAAUGUGAACUUAGUCUAUUGCUUGCAGCCUAAAUGUUCAGUCUUGUAAUUUUCGUUGUAAUGGCUUGAGACUCUACCAUGUUUAUCAUUGUACGAAGAUCGAACUUUACUCUAAACUUCUCUGGACUCAUUGAGCUUUGGUUUGCUCAAGAGCAUCACUUUAAGGUAGCCAAUCGUGUCACUGCAUGCAUACGCAGGUUGCUUUGUAUCUUUCUUCUUCGUCAUUCUGCUGAUUCAGAGGUUCUAUGUUUAAUUUCUGAACUUUGAAACAACUCUCACAUAGUAUUGUGAAUCUCGUAAUGUUUUUGACCUCGUCAAAUCUUAUUAUCAGUUCUUAACUAUCCUUGAGCUUAGCCCUAUUUCCUUUUGGCUAAGAACCAGUUGACCAUACUGUGAUGAUUUGCAAAAUAAUCAGAAACAAUGACUCUAUUUCUGCAUCUUUAUCUUCCUUCGCUUGUUGGUUCUCAAUGUAAAAUUGAAUCAUGCCGGAACAAUAUGAGCUUGUUCUUGGCGUGGUUUCUGGUUCAAAUCCUGAUUUCUUGUAAUCUAUCUUUUUAUGGACUUGUUUUGAUCCUCAAAUUCUUGAGUAUUCUUUUAGCCUUCUCGACAUGGUUUCUCGCCUAACCAGUGAGAAAUUCACAAUCGAUCGUUUCGGUGAAAGUGGGCACCCAGUUCGUGUUGAUUCGGACAUGAAUGUUGGGAGCAUAAUCUUUUCACAAGCUUACCAGACUUACCAUAAAGAAUUCCAUGUGGGUAUGAGGUUUAAGCUGUAUUUUGGUAAGAGACUGGUGAAGAUUUUGGUGCAGAAGGUCAGCAUAUUGUAUCACCAUCUUACUAGAAUUCAUAGGCAUCACAUUGGUUAUUUUCCAACUAUAUGUGUUCGUCUCGACGCAUAUUUCCACUGCUUCAUUUCUGAACCUUAUUAUUGUGAGUACGUGGUUGUUAAAACAUUUCUAGCAGAUAUGUUUGGUGCAUUCUGAGAUGGCACUACAGGACGGUCGAAGCGAGAAUUGGAUAAUCUUUACACUUCUCUCGAAAUGUGCGUGUUGUCUUUGGUUGUUAGGAUGACCAUUUGCGAGUCGUUCUUCUUCCACCAACUUUGAUCUUGUUUGACUUGAAAUCUGCAACUAAGCAAAAAUGGAGAGGUGGAUUGAGCACCACAACAGUUCGUAAGAGAUACUGCGUGUUGAGGAAGAUGACUUCUCGUUUUCUGCUUGCUUGAUUUGAGCUUUUGGGUCUACUACUAACAUGGUAGCCACUUCUCUUGAAUCCCAAGGUACAAUUUUCAAAUGGGUUCCUUACUGGUGAAAUUCUGAAGUAGUUGGUCACAUUUGGAAGAACUGAGGAGGAUAGGAUGCUUGGUGCUGGAUAGAGUGUUACGACGACAGUUUCUGUUUUGUUCGGUUUGGUGUAUGGUACUUUUUACGACCUGGUACGAUAGUUUUUCAUGGAAAACACUGGUUGACUGAAAAGUCUUGCGAACUUGUAUUUGGAGGAUCGAUCCUACGAUAUGUGAAAUUGUACACCAUUUGAGAAAUUACUACUUGCCUAUCGAGACAACAAAUGUGAGGUCGAUAUUGCGGGCUGCAGACUGUGAUAUCGAUAGCUUAUUUGGUGGGUUCGUUAAGCAAGUGGGGCAAGAAGAUUCGUCUACAGCAGCUGAUGCAGAUUCAGAAUUUGUAUUUCUUAGGACUCGACCUAAAGGCACAUCUAUUCUCGGAAUAUAUGACAUUUCGAAUUCUUGGGCGAGACCCACUCUCAUUUUUCAGUUUUGAUUUUCAGUAUAAGUAUUUUGAACUCCCUUUACUCUAGUUAAUUGUUUUGGCGUUACAAAUGUUUUUGGAAAAGUAUUUAUGUUUUCAUUUUUAAGUUGAUUCGAGUUUUUGAACUAUAUGUUAGUACAUAUCUAUUUUGACGUUAUCUGGCCUUAAGCUAUUUUGUGUUUUCAACUUUAUAUUUUAUUAAAAUAUGUGUUUUAUUUUUACACUGAUGGAAAAAAAAAAAAAAAAAAAGUUUGAGCCUGGAGGCACGAAAGAUGGAAUCAUUGCAGCCGAUCGCGACGGCGUGGCAUUUUCCCUUUUGUGAAACCGCUCUUACCUGAUCUUUUCGUUACAUAUAUAUAUAUUAUUCUUCUUCCUAUUUUCAAGUAUUUUCGGUGUAGUAUGUUGUUUUAAAUUUCGAGGACGAAAUUUUUUUAUAAGGGUGGUAGAUUGAAACACCCCAACCCUCUUUUAUAUUUUAAAAUUGUUUUAAAGCCUUAAUUGGUGAGCCCGUGGGGCCCACCUUGUUUAUUUUUUUAUAUGUUUUCUGAUCUCUCUCUUCUUCUUCUUCGUCUCUCCCUCCCGUAGCUCACUCCUUCUUAGCUCUCCCGUCUCUCUCUCCCUCAACCUUUCGCAUCUCUCUCUUCUCCUGGACUCACUAGGAUCGAGUCACCAUCGAAGAGAGGCUCGCAACGAACCCCGAACCCUGCCCUGCGAGUUCGAUGACACGGAGUAAGCUCCGGCGAGCACCGCCCCUUUCGAGGCCAUUUCCGGCCAAACCACGGCGAGUUGGCCGGCGUUUAAGGUAUCAAUCUCUUCGUCUCGUCGAGUACUACAACUUUCCUUUUUGUUUCACUUAAUUUCAUUAAGUAUUGAAGAAGUUAUACUCAUUUGAAUCUUACCCAGUUUCCGGCGAGUCCGACGGCUUUCGAGGAAUUUUCCGGCCAAACCACGGCGAGUUAGACGUCGUGUGAGGUACCAUUCUCUUCGUCUCUUCAAGGGCUACAACUUUCAUUUUGUCUUGCUUGAUUUCGUUGAGUAUUGACAAAGUUAUGGCCAUUUAAAGUUGGGUGGUUUUCCGGCCGAAAAUUCCGACCUUCUCCUUCGACAAACCCAGGCCAUCCGGCCUUUCCCUCUCCCUCGGGCCUUAGGCCCGUGUUGCCUUAGCCCAGUACCCUAGCCCAUUCAGUUUUUAUUUUUAGUUAUAUGUUUUUAAAACCCAAAGGGCUUGGGCCCUAGUUUUGGUUGGCCUUGGGCCGGUUUUCAACCAAGGGCUUAAAGCCCUGAUUUCUGUAGGAGGCCUUAGGGCCUUGUGUAGUGUGUGUGUGUGUGUGUUUAUAGUAUAUGUAUGUGUUUGGGCUAUAUGUAUGUGUUUGGGCUUAAACCCAAACCCCUUUCCUAACCCUAAACCAUUUUAACCCAAAACCUUAGAAAUCCAAACCACCCAUUUUAACCCUAAACCCUUUUAACCUUAGAACCCUAAAUUCAAAACCCAAUAAAUCCUAAUCCUAUUUAACCUAAACCCUAAUCCGGAUUUCAAGCCUAAAACCCGUUAGACCUAAUUUGACCGUUGACCUCCGGUUAACAUUGACUUUAGAGUUGACUUUUCGGGUUUUCGUCCGGGACCCUUCUUAGGGUAAUUCGACGUUCUGAAUCCGUUUCCAACGUCCGUUUUCCCAAAUCCAAUUGCUAUUAUAUAGUUUUAUUAAUUGGACCCUUUAUGUGCUUAGGGGCAAUUAUUGGUGACGUUAGUUUGCGUGGCUCUUCGGCGGCUAAGUACUGUGAGUGGACCCCUUCAAAAGCAUGUUUUAAAUAGUAGAAAUGCAUACAUGAAAUGCAUGAUUUAAUGAUUACGUUUUAUGAAACGUUUUGAGAUAACAUGCUUACUGAGGCUACCUUGAAUUAUUACUAUUUUUCCUAUAACCCGUGUUCUUAUAGAAUAUCUGAUGGAUGACGAUAUGAUAUUUAGAACAUGUUUCGAACACCUCUUUAUAGUAUAGAUGAUGAAUGACUUUAUACUAUGAAGUUGUUUUUCAAUAUAUGUAUGUUCAAUGGUUUUGUACUUACCUAGUGGUCCUUUCCGCUACGGGACGUAGGGAUAGAUUCCGGUCCGUCCCGGGCGACGGUUUGGUGUUGGCAUAGGGCCUGGAGUGUGUUUCCUCUGGCUAUUUAGCACAGGGACGGGGAGCCGGCAUGGGGCCUGAAGUGUAUUUUCCUCUGACUGUCUGCUCAGAGACGGGGAGCCGGCAUGGGGCCUGCAGGUUAUCGGACAAUUCACUAGUGAUUAUUAUAUAUGAGUUAUGAUUUGAGAUACUGCACAUCAUGCUAGGUUUCGGAAAACCUAUGUUCAUCAUUAUAUAUUUGUUUUCAUAAACCUGGGGGUUAGUAUAUUGAUAACUGUUUUUAUUAUAUAUAUAUCAACUUGGUCCACUCAUGUUUGUUUUGCGCCCCCUUCAGGAUUUAGGAUCGAGGCGUACAAUCCCGACAAUCAAGGCACUUCCGCAUCGGCAUCUUCGAGUCCUCUUGGUGUGGGACUCAUUCUUUUAUUCAUUCCAUUUUAUAUCAUUCUUUUAGUGUUCUAGUUAGUUGUAUGCUCUGAACACGUUCCUUAAAUGCAUAUUCCUUAUUCUUUUACA